CAUAACAUUGGUUGCUUUGUUCUUUUUCUUCAUGAUAUUUGUGAUAUUUUUCUUGAAUUUUCCAAAUUGAAUGUAUAUUUCAAAAGUCAAGGUGACAAAAUUGUCAAGAUGCAUGAAUGGCUCGCCAAUAUCGCAUUUCUGAGUUUCACUGUAGUAUGGUACAUUUCUCGGUUAUAUUGGUAUCCACUCAGAGUUCUUUAUACCGGGAUAUCCGAUAUUAACGGAUUGCAAUCAGUAUUACCUUGUUCAUUGCUCAUGAAUGGCUUAUUGUGGAUUUUGCAAAUUUUAAAUGUUUAUUGGUUUUAUCUUAUCCUUCAAACACUCUACAGAGUGGUCACUGGUCAAUUAGCUGAAGACGCAAGAGAAUAUGAUGUAAUGGAAAAGCUAAACCAAAAAGAGGAUAAAAAGCUCUCUUAGUUUUUUGAAGUUAAUUAGUUAAUAAGGUAUGCUCAGUAAAAGAAAAUUAUAAAAAUUUGGGUAACUGCAACCGCUAGUUCGGGUUCAUUCCAGUAAUGGCGAUGGAUGUUUUGUCAUAUUUUACAGCUUCUUUCUCAUAGGCUGUGUUUGUAACUUGAUUUUAACAAAUGUUUAAUGUAUGUUUUAAAUCCGAACAUGCUGUGUAAGUAUUGUAUAAAACAUUUUGUAACUUCUUAAGAAAAUUAAAUUAAGUUUAAUGUGUAAUUAUUACAUUUUUACAAUUUGAAAUUGUGAUUUUCACUUUUUCCCUUUGUGGAGAGUAUUUCAAAUAUUACUGCCUUCUUACAUUUAAAUGUUUGGGGAACAUGAUCAAAUUUCUUUAUAUUGAAAUACUUUAUUUUGUAAUUUACCUGUAACUUUGAAGUAUUAUAAAUGUAUCUAAAUCAAAUUUAUUAUAGAACAUUAGUUAAAAUCUUGAUUCUAAAAUUUUGUGUAAGAUUUUCAAGUUUAAAUGUUCAGAAUAUCAAAUAACUAUGGUGGUGAUUUUCCUCAAUUACGCAAUUAUUAUUAUUGUUUUUUUUGCAUCCUUUAAAAAAAUUUAUCUUUUAUUUUUUUUUCCACUCUAAAGUAAGCAAUAAAACGAAACUAUUUAAAGAUAUUUUAAUGCUUAGUUUUGUUGAUAAGGAAUUACUAUAUGUUAAAGAGUAAUUUACUAAUUAUCUUAUUUUGAUUAUAAGUUUCUAUUUCAAAUGGUUAUAGGAUUAUGUAUCUAUUGGAAAAAUCUUUACAUAUUUUGUGUGUAAUUGUUUCAUAAAUUUUAUUAGUUAAUUCCGCCAUGCAUUCUUUUGUUAAUUACCUAAUUCUAUUCAAGCUAAAGUUUCAUUUUGAAUAUAACAUUGUUAGUUAAAUAUUGCUAACUUUUUUCUAACAAAAUUUCGCGUUUCAGAAUGUGAGAAAGCUUAUAAAAACUGCCAAUAAUAAUAGGAUUGAUAAGUUUAAUAAUAUUAUUGAUAAAUUUCAUAGAAUAUUAUUGAUUAAACAAACAAUUGGAUUCAUAAAACAAACAAUAGGAUUGAUAAACAAAAAAAUAAUUAUUUUAAAAAUAUAAGAGCAUAAGAAGAAACUAAAUUUUGUUGAUAAACUAAAUGAGAUUGAUGCGUUAAGAUUAUAAUAUCUGUUUUUGAAGAACUGAACAAGAAUUUCCAAAUAUCUUUCUAUUUUAUUAUAUAGUUUCAACAUGCAAGAAAAAUAUUUUUGCCUCAUCAAGUUUUUUUAUUCUAAUAAAUAAUUACUGUUAUUCCAUUUUGUCGCUUGAUUUAACUGUUACAGAUUACAAUAGUAAGUUUUCUACAACAAUGCGGGACUCUAACUUUAUUUUGUCAUACUGGAUAAUUAUUAUAGAUAAAAAAGGUAAAGUUAUUUGAAAUUAUGUUCCUAUUUUUUUCUGAAGAAGUCAUUCAUGUUUUAUAAUUUGCAGUUACAUAUGUAUAUUCUGUUUCAUUUUAUAAUCCUUCGCUGAAUAAUUGCACAACAAUAACCGUAAAAAUUAUGAGGAAAAAAAGGAUUUCAAAUUGAUAAAGUUCAUUUGUUUACCGGUUCUAAAUAUUUUACUUAUUUUAAAGAAAAAGAUUUCUUUGCGACAAAUUAAAGUAUCAAAUUAAAUUUGAUACGCACGCCUAGAAAAUAAAUUAAAUAGAAUUCUGGACUAGUUCGUCUUAUGAUAGGAACCAGCAUAGCCAAGACAGUAUUAUAAGAGAGAUGCAAUAUGCUGAUUUCAAGAACGUAGACAGUAGUUUAAAUAAAUUAAUAAUUGUAAUUAAAUUCAGUUUCACAACUCAUUUCUAAAUAGGCUAAUAUCAACAAAAGAAGUAUGAAGUUUCUUUUCUUCUUUGUGAAACAUAAUUCUAAUUUGUGGAAUAUAUUUAAGGGUAGUCAAUUAACAUUCGUUUUUUGCAUAUUGAGUUAAAGCAAACUUGAUAAAUAUUUUUUUACGAAAAAUAAUACCUAAAUAAUAUUUCUUCAAAAUAGUUCAUGAAUAAACAGCAGUACAAUGUUUUCCUAUUUAUAUAGAGACAAAAAUUUAAAGAAGAAUUAUUCUUCACAAACAUGCUCUAAAGAAGUUAUUAACUGCGUGUUAAUAUUGUAUGGUUUUUACCAUGAAAUGUAUAAAUUUAUAAAAUGCAUGUAAUGUGAAUUAUAGACGUAUUUUUGAUAUGUUUGUUUACAUAAACCCUUGUCUUUAAUUUAUGCUAAUAUUUUAUGCAAAUAACUUGUAAAAUAAAUAAAGUAUGAUCAUUUGCAUAAUAAAAUAUUUAUCUGUGAUA